rnacentral:rRNA from 1 species
UUUUUGUGUAAAAAAAGAAUUGUAACAAGGUCUCCGUAGGUGAACCUGCGGAGGGAUCAUUACACAAAUAUGAAGGCGGGCUGGAACCUCUCGGGGUUACAGCCUUGCUGAAUUAUUCACCCUUGUCUUUUGCGUACUUCUUGUUUCCUUGGUGGGUUCGCCCACCACUAGGACAAACAUAAACCUUUUGUAAUUGCAAUCAGCGUCAGUAACAAAUUAAUAAUUACAACUUUCAACAACGGAUCUCUUGGUUCUGGCAUCGAUGAAGAACGCAGCGAAAUGCGAUAAGUAGUGUGAAUUGCAGAAUUCAGUGAAUCAUCGAAUCUUUGAACGCACAUUGCGCCCUUUGGUAUUCCAAAGGGCAUGCCUGUUCGAGCGUCAUUUGUACCCUCAAGCUUUGCUUGGUGUUGGGCGUCUUGUCUCUAGCUUUGCUGGAGACUCGCCUUAAAGUAAUUGGCAGCCGGCCUACUGGUUUCGGAGCGCAGCACAAGUCGCACUCUCUAUCAGCAAAGGUCUAGCAUCCAUUAAGCCUUUUUUCAACUUUGACCUCGGAUCAGGUAGGAAUCCCCAAU